AGCAGCCACCACUGCCACCACCUUGUCAAAGUCAUCAUCCUGCUUAUAGGCUGUCAGUGCCACCAGGAGCUGGCUGCAGGCUGUGGCGCCUAGGGCACUUCGAGUAUCUGCCAGACAGACAAAGAGAAGGAGAGACACCACAGCCCUGUUCUACCACUGGUGAAGCUCCCCCCCAACACACACACACACUCCCAUGUUGCAAGUGCUCCUGUGUGGAGGCCAGAAGCUUGAAUGCAUUCUCACUCCUGAUGAAGUGUGUGUUCUACCUAGUGAGCCACUUCCUGGCCCCAGAGCAUGUGACUAUGCACUGCUCCCCUCAGAAGCUGGGAACAUGGAUGCUGCCUAUACUAGGGCAGUAUGGCACCGUCUGUACUCAUGCACACCAAGAGCCCAGCCCGGGGCUGUAAGGGGUGGUCCGGAGGCCUGGACUCAGCAGCCUUCCAUGGCAUAGGCCUGGGGAUGUGUCACCUCCUAGAGCAGACCCACCACCCAACCAAGACGGGAAGUACACAGGACUUGACGGGAGAGGAGAGGUUCUUCUAUCAACCAAGCAAUGCUCUCAUCAAUGACUCAUGAAAUCUUAAAGAAAUAAAAGAACCAUAUCUGGAGGUUUACAGAA